CCUUGUACACACCGCCCGUCACGGCAUGGGAGUUGGUUUUACCCGAAGACGGUGCGCUAACCGCAAGGAGGGCAGCCGGCCACGGUAGGAUCAGCGACUGGGCCG
rnacentral:rRNA from 1 species